GUCUUAGCAAACAUUACGCCACCGACUACGUAACUUCCAUCACGUGAAAAAGGCAAAAGUUUCCUGACUGUGAAUGCUGCAGGCAGUAAAAUUGGAACGUGCGCAGAGUUUUGUAUUUCGCGGUCCUGGGGGACUCUCGGAGACAGUGCUGUCGAGGACCAUGAAUCGUGCUAAUACAGAGAGCAGCCUCUCCAGCUAUUAAAAUGUCUCCAACAAUGUGAUUAUUUUAAAAUGGAAAAACUAAUAUCACAUGUGUUACUUAAAGAUCAACUAUUCUUUGAAAGUCACAGAGAGAAUGCAUUUGGACUUUUUUUUUUUUUUUUUUUAAAUCAAAUUGUUUCUGCAUGCUGCCAAAAAUGUGAACUGUCUCAGCUCCAGGGAAGAAAACUUCCAGUGCCUUUUACAGAAUACCUCCUUACUUGAGCAACGGGUCAGCAGAGCAUAAAAAUGGCCAAAAGGCCAGGAUCAAUAAGCAUGAAAAACUGUUUUAUUUCUGUUUGAGCAAGUUGUAGCGACAAUGGCCUGCCGAAACUGUCUCUGGCUUUGUGCUAUCAUAGCCGCAGAAAGAUGACAUCCAAGCAGAAAGUGGAGCAGACCACUGUGAUGGACAACGGUGUGAGCAUUGCUGCUGGCCUCCUGUUGGCUGAGGACUCAGCCUGCAGGAUUCAAAGAGGUUGUUAUGUAGGGAGAUCCUCAACCAGUUCUACAGGUGUGAAGACGACAGAGCCACCUUGUAAUAGUUCCCUGCCGCUUUUCACUAUCACUGAGGGGUACCCGGAAGCAUCUGGUCUAGACUUCACUAAGCUUUCCUUCUGCCAUACCUGGUUGAGCCACAUUUUGCUGUGAUCAUCUCCAGACCCUGUUUACAUCUCAGUGUCUGUAGGUUAAAGCAAAUUAACCUCAUCUGCAUGUGGUGUUCCCUGACCUCAUUGCUGAUGGAUGAGUGAAAAAGAAAUGGCCCAGCGAAUAUGGAAAAUCAGCAUCGGCAAAUGAUUUAAAUGUAACAGUUAGUAACCUGUCCUUUUCUCACAGACUGGGGAGUGAGUUCAAUAAGCUCGUGGGUGAGAAGUAGGCCUUACAUUCAAGUGACCCACCACCCAUGCGGCUCACUGAUCUCUUCAGCUGCCACCCUGAGUAGAGUCUUGCUGUUCAUCUACUGGAGGGAUGUCUGGGAGCUGCCCUUAUUUUUGAGGGGCGAUGCCCAACUUGGGCAAAAAGUUUAACUUUUACUCGAAAAAAGAAAAACAGUCAAUGAAACCAAAAUAAGACAACGUGGGUGAGCCGCCAUCUUUCCUUUCUUCUGCGUUCCUUUCUCCGUCUUCAUAGUAUUCUCUCUUCACACGUCUUUUUCCAGACAAACGGGUCUUAUUCCUAGCCUGUAGCUGGCUGUGUUCUUCAUGUGGAGUCUCCCCGUCUCCCAUAAUGUCUCAUCCGUCUCUUAUUCCCCAGCAUCUUACUGCACCCGGUUUACACGCAGGGUGUUGUCAUGGUUCUGUUUGUUUGAUUGCUUGUUUUUUAGGUAAGGUCUUGCUGUCAGGGCCCAGGAUGGCCUGGUACUCUAUGAUCCUCCUGCCUCAGCCUCCCAAGUGCUGGAAGUGCCAGCAUGUGCCAUCGUGCCAAGGUCAUGAUGUUCUAUUUUUAAAAAACAGUGGUUCAUUCUCAGAGUCAAGGCUUCACACCAGCAGGAACUCAUCUCUGGGAAGAGGAGCACACUCUUGAACCUUAUGGGAACUACAGGUUGAGAAGGUUGCCUCUUAUCAGUCUUCAGGUAAUGCUGAUUACUCUGUGGGUCGAGCUACUUUCAGGUUAUCUCUGUCUCUCUCAAGCUACUCACGCCUAUUGGUUUCUGACUUCCCAUCUGUUGAGGCCCACCUAAAAUCCACGUCCCUGAAGGAGGUUGGUGGCAGAGCACACACUGGAAUGAAAGACGACACAUGACUUGGGACAGCAGUUCCCAGAUGCCCAGCGAUGUAACAUGAGCAAAGCAUUUAGCUCUUUAAGCCUCACCAUCACUAUCCAAAAACAGGAUGACACCCUCGUUACUGUAUUCUGGAGACAGAAUAAAAAUGGGCUAACUGAGA